UACAGAGGGGGCAAGCGUUGUUCGGAAUUACUGGGCGUAAAGGGCGCGUAGGCGGCCUGUUAAGUCGAACGUGAAAUCCCCGGGCUCAACCCGGGAACUGCGUCCGAUACUGGCAGGCUUGAAUCCGGGAGAGGGAUGCGGAAUUCCAGGUGUAGCGGUGAAAUGCGUAGAUAUCAGGAGGAACACCAGCGGCGAAGGCGGCGCUCUGGGCCGGUACUGACGCUGAGGAGCGAAAGCGUGGGUAGCAAACAGG
rnacentral:rRNA from 1 species